rnacentral:lncRNA from 1 species
CGUGGUAUUUACGACGAUUUCACCCUACGAGGACUUUACGACGAUUUGUGCUUACGUGGAAUUAACGAGUGUUAUGUUUAAAUCCCUAGAAUCUGAAACCCGAAACCAGAAACCCCAACCCCGAAACCCCAAACCCGAAACCCCAAACCCGAAACACCAAACCCGAAACCCCAAACCCAAAACCCGAAACCCGAAACCCCAAACCCCAAACCCCAUAUUCCUUAUUUU